rnacentral:rRNA from 1 species
UGGGGAAUCUUGCGCAAUGGGCGAAAGCCUGACGCAGCCAUGCCGCGUGAAUGAUGAAGGUCUUAGGAUUGUAAAAUUCUUUCACCGGGGACGAUAAUGACGGUACCCGGAGAAGAAGCCCCGGCUAACUUCGUGCCAGCAGCCGCGGUAAUACGAAGGGGGCUAGCGUUGCUCGGAAUUACUGGGCGUAAAGGGAGCGUAGGCGGACUGUUAAGUUAGAGGUGAAAGCCCAGGACUCAACCUUGGAAUUGCCUUUGAUACUGGCAGUCUUGAGUACGGAAGAGGUAUGUGGAACUCCGAGUGUAGAGGUGAAAUUCGUAGAUAUUCGGAAGAACACCAGUGGCGAAGGCGACAUACUGGUCCGUUACUGACGCUGAGGCUCGAAAGCGUGGGGAGCAAACA